UACGAAGGGGGCUAGCGUUGCUCGGAAUCACUGGGCGUAAAGCGCUCGUAGGCGGUCUCUUAAGUCGGUGGUGAAAUCCUGGAGCUCAACUCCAGAACUGCCUUCGAUACUGAGAGUCUCGAGUCCGAGAGAGGUGAGUGGAACUGCGAGUGUAGAGGUGAAAUUCGUAGAUAUUCGCAAGAACACCAGUGGCGAAGGCGGCGCACUGGCUCGGGACUGACGCUGAGGUGCGAAAGCGUGGGGAGCAAACAGG
rnacentral:rRNA from 1 species